GACGAACGCUGGCGGCGUGCCUAAUACAUGCAAGUCGAACGCAGUGGGGACGGGUGAGGAACACGUGGGUAACCUCCCAUCAGAGGGGAUAACACGUGGAAACAGGUGCUAAAACCGAUACUGGAGGAGGAAGCCGGGGGGCAUUAGCUAGGUGGUGGGGUAACGGCUCACCAAGGCCACGAUGCAUAGCCGACCUGAGAGGGUGACCGGCCACACUGGGACGGAGACACGGCCCAGACUCCUACGGGAGGCAGCAGUAGGGAAUCUUCGGCAAUGGACGAAAGUCUGACCGAGCAAUGCCGCGUGAGUGAAGAAGGUUUUCGGAUUGUAAAACUCUGUUGUUAGAGAAGCGGUAUCUAACCAGAAAGCCACGGCUAACUACGUGCCAGCCGCCGCGGUAAUUC
rnacentral:rRNA from 1 species